rnacentral:rRNA from 1 species
GAUGAACGCUAGCGGGAGGCUUAACACAUGCAAGUCGAGGGGUAAAUGGUAGCAAUACUAUGAGACCGGCGGACGGGUGCGUAACGCGUAUGCAACAUACCUUGUGCAGGGGGAUAGCCCGUGGAAACGCGGAUUAAUAUUCCAUAGUCCAGCUAUAUCGCAUGGUAUAGUUGGUAAAGAUUUAUCGGCACAAGUUUGGCAUGCGUCUGAUUAGCUUGUUGGUAGGGUAACGGCCUACCAAGGCUACGAUCAGUAGGGGUUCUGAGAGGAUUAACCCCCACACUGGUACUGAGACACGGACCAGACUCCUACGGGAGGCAGCAGUGAGGAAUAUUGGUCAAUGGGCGGAAGCCUGAACCAGCCAUCCCGCGUGAAGGAAGACAGCCUUACGGGUUGUAAACUUCUUUUCUGUCAGAAGAAUAAGCUUGUCGAGACGAGUGAUGCCGGUAUGACAGGAAUAAGCAUCGGCUAACUCCGUGCCAGCAGCCGCGGUAAAC